rnacentral:rRNA from 1 species
AGACAGCAGUAGCCGCGGUAAUACGUAGGUGGCAAGCGUUGUCCGGAAUUAUUGGGCGUAAAGGGCUCGCAGGCGGUUUCUUAAGUCUGAUGUGAAAGCCCCCGGCUCAACCGGGGAGGGUCAUUGGAAACUGGGAAACUUGAGUGCAGAAGAGGAGAGUGGAAUUCACGUGUAGCGGUGAAAUGCGUAGAGAUGUGGAGGAACACCAGUGGCGAAGGCGACUCUCUGGUCUGUAACUGACGCUGAGGAGCGAAAGCGUGGGGAGCGAACAGGAUUAGAUACCCCUGUAGCCUGUCUCUUAUACACA